CGCAUCUGUGCAUGCAGCAUAUCAAUAAGCGGAGGAAAAGAAACUAACAAGGAUUCCCCUAGUAACGGCGAGUGAAGCGGGAAGAGCUCAAAUUUGAAAUCUUAAAGGGUUUCCCUUUACGAAUUGUAGUUUAAAGAAGUGUUUUCUGUUGAGGUUUUGGUAAAAGUUCUUUGGAAUAGGACAUCAUAGAGGGUGAGAAUCCCGUAUCUUGACCUUUACUUUCAACUUUGUGAUACACUUUCAAAGAGUCGGAUUGUUUGGGAAUGCAGUCCAAAAUGGGUGGUAAAUUUCAUCUAAAGCUAAAUAUUGGCGAGAGACCGAUAGCGAACAAGUACCGUGAGGGAAAGAUGAAAAGAACUUUGAAAAGAGAGUUAAACAGUACGUGAAAUUGUCAAAAGGGAAGCGUUUGACACCAGUGUUGUUUUUCUGAAAAUCAAUUAAAGAACUGUUUAUGCUAAGCUGUUUAGACUUUAUCAGCUAUCUGUUUAGUUUUGAGCUUUUCUUUAAUGCACUUUUCAGUUAACAAGUCAACAUCAAUUUCUUUUGCUGUAAAAAAGCUUGAGGAAGGUGGCUUGAGAUUCGUCUUAAGUGUUUAUAGCCUCUUGCCUAUGCAGUCGGAGAGAUUGAGGUCUGCAGCGUAGAUCCUUCGGGGCUAAAUGCAUUUGUGCUAAGUUAUAGCAUUUUAUAGACAACUUGUUGACUAUGAUUUGUCUUGUAGCUUACUCGCUUAUGUUAUUUUACCUACGCUUAGGAUGUUGAACGCGCACAGAGUCUC
rnacentral:rRNA from 1 species